GCUCCAGUGGCGCAGCUGGUUAGCGCUUCGUGCUUAUAGAGAACGCGACGGUCGUGGGUUCAAUCCCCUCCUGGAGCA